rnacentral:rRNA from 1 species
AUCAACGCUGGCGGCGCGCUUAACACAUGCAAGUCGAACGAGAAAGUGGGAGCAAUCCAUGAGUACAGUUGGCGCACGGGUGAGUAACACGUGGGCAACCUGCCCUUGAGUGGGGACAUAACCUGGGGAAACCCGGGCUAAUACCGCAUACGUUCCUUGGGACGCCUGUUGCCGGGGAAGAAACGCGCAAGCGGCUCGAGGAGGGACCCGCGGCCGAUUAGGUUGUUGGUAGGGGUAACGGCCUACCAAGCCUCUGAUCGGUAGCCGGCCUGAGAGGGCACACGGCCACACUGGCACUGAAACACGGCCAGACUCCUACGGGAGGCAGCAGUGGGGAAUCUUGCACAAUGGGGGCAACCCUGAUGCAGCGACGCCGCGUGAGUGAUGAAGCCCUUCGGGGUGUGUAAAGCUCUUUUGUCGGGGACAAUCAUGAUGGUACCCGGCGAAUAAGCUGCGGCUAACUACGUGCCAGCAGCCGCGGUAAUACGUAGGCAGCAAGCGUUGUUCGGAAUUACUGGGCGUAAAAGCGUGUGUAGGCGGUUGGGUAAGUCUGGUGUGAAAUCUCCCGGCUCAACUGGGAGGGUGCGCCGGAUACUGCCUGGCUGGAGUGCGGAAGAGGAGAGUGGAAUUCCCGGUGUAGCGUGUGAUGAAAUGCGUAGAUAUCGGGAGGAACACCUGUGGUGAAGACGGCUCUCUGGACCGCUACUGACGCUGAGACACGAAAGCGUGGGGAGCAAACAGGAUUAGAUACCCUGGUAGUCCACGCCCUAAACGAUGCACAUUUGGUGUGGGCCAUUCAUUUGGUCUGUGCCGGAGCUAACGCGUUAAAUGUGGCCGCCUGGGGAGUACGGUCGCAAGGCUGAAACUCAAAGGAAUUGACGGGGGGCCCGCACAAGCGGUGGAGCAUGUGGUUCAAUUCGACGCAACGCGAAGAACCUUACCUGGGCUCGAACGGCUGGGGACCGGGGUGGAAACACCCUUUUCCCGCAAGGGACCGCAGUCGAGGUGCUGCAUGGCUGUCGUCAGCUCGUGUCGUGAGAGUGUUGGGUUAAGUCCCGCAACGAGCGCAACCCUUGUCCGUUGUUGCCAUACCAAUUCUUGGUGGAACUCGACGGAGACCGCCAGCGACAAGCUGGAGGAAGGUGGGGACGACGUCAAGUCAUCAUGGCCUUUAUGUCCAGGGCUACACACGUGCUACAAUGGGCGGUACAAUGGGUCGCCAACCCGCGACGGGGGAGCCAAUCCCAAAAAGCCGUCCUCAGUUCGGAUUGCAGGCUGCAACUCGCCUGCAUGAAGCUGGAAUCGCUAGUAAUGCUACAUCAGAACGGUAGCGUGAAUACGUUCCCGGGCCUGUACACACCGCCCGUCACAUCACGAAAGUGGGCUGUACUAGAAGUCCGCGCGCCGACCGCAAGGGGGCAGCGGCCCCAAGGUAUGGUCCAUGAUUGGGGUG